rnacentral:tRNA from 1 species
GCUGGAGUGGCGGAACUGGCAGACGCGCGAGACUCAAAAUCUCGUGGCCUGUAGAGGCCGUGAGGGUUCGACUCCCUCCUCCAGCACCA